GGGUUGUGAGGUUAAGCGACUAAGCGUACACGGUGGAUGCCCUGGCAGUCAGAGGCGAUGAAGGACGUGCUAAUCUGCGAUAAGCGUCGGUAAGGUGAUAUGAACCGUUAUAACCGGCGAUUUCCGAAUGGGGAAACCCAGUGUGUUUCGACACACUAUCAUUAACUGAAUCCAUAGGUUAAUGAGGCGAACCGGGGGAACUGAAACAUCUAAGUACCCCGAGGAAAAGAAAUCAACCGAGAUUCCCCCAGUAGCGGCGAGCGAACGGGGAGCAGCCCAGAGCCUGAAUCAGUGUGUGUGUUAGUGGAAGUGUCUGGAAAGGCGCGCGAUACAGGGUGACAGCCCCGUACACAAAAAUGCACAUGCUGUGAGCUCGAUGAGUAGGGCGGGACACGUGGUAUCCUGUCUGAAUAUGGGGGGACCAUCCUCCAAGGCUAAAUACUCCUGACUGACCGAUAGUGAACCAGUACCGUGAGGGAAAGGCGAAAAGAACCCCGGCGAGGGGAGUGAAAAAGAACCUGAAACCGUGUACGUACAAGCAGUGGGAGCCCUGAUUUAUCAGGGUGACUGCGUACCUUUUGUAUAAUGGGUCAGCGACUUAUAUUCUGUAGCAAGGUUAACCGAAUAGGGGAGCCGGAGGGAAACCGAGUCUUAACUGGGCGUUAAGUUGCAGGGUAUAGACCCGAAACCCGGUGAUCUAGCCAUGGGCAGGUUGAAGGUUGGGUAACACUAACUGGAGGACCGAACCGACUAAUGUUGAAAAAUUAGCGGAUGACUUGUGGCUGGGGGUGAAAGGCCAAUCAAACCGGGAGAUAGCUGGUUCUCCCCGAAAGCUAUUUAGGUAGCGCCUCGUGAAUUCAUCUCCGGGGGUAGAGCACUGUUUCGGCAAGGGGGUCAUCCCGACUUACCAACCCGAUGCAAACUGCGAAUACCGGAGAAUGUUAUCACGGGAGACACACGGCGGGUGCUAACGUCCGUCGUGAAGAGGGAAACAACCCAGACCGCCAGCUAAGGUCCCAAAGUCAUGGUUAAGUGGGAAACGAUGUGGGAAGGCCCAGACAGCCAGGAUGUUGGCUUAGAAGCAGCCAUCAUUUAAAGAAAGCGUAAUAGCUCACUGGUCGAGUCGGCCUGCGCGGAAGAUGUAACGGGGCUAAACCAUGCACCGAAGCUGCGGCAGCGACACUGUGUGUUGUUGGGUAGGGGAGCGUUCUGUAAGCCUGUGAAGGUGUGCUGUGAGGCAUGCUGGAGGUAUCAGAAGUGCGAAUGCUGACAUAAGUAACGAUAAAGCGGGUGAAAAGCCCGCUCGCCGGAAGACCAAGGGUUCCUGUCCAACGUUAAUCGGGGCAGGGUGAGUCGACCCCUAAGGCGAGGCCGAAAGGCGUAGUCGAUGGGAAACAGGUUAAUAUUCCUGUACUUGGUGUUACUGCGAAGGGGGGACGGAGAAGGCUAUGUUGGCCGGGCGACGGUUGUCCCGGUUUAAGCGUGUAGGCUGGUUUUCCAGGCAAAUCCGGAGAAUCAAGGCUGAGGCG
rnacentral:rRNA from 2 species